GGGCCGGGCGGUGCGGGGGGCUGAGGGGGGAAAUGGCGGCGGGCGGCGUCGCCAUCUCGCAGCGCCCCCAGGGGUGUCCCGGCGGCCAGCCUGCCUGAGCGCUGCGGGGAGGAUUAACGUCGGGUCUUGCAGGCGGCUGUCAGGAGCCGGGCUGGUAAAGGGAGGCCUUGAGCAGAUGCUACAUCAUUCCUAGAAGCAUGUGGAAAACAAAUAUAGAUCCAUUCUUCAUAUAGAACGGCAAACUUCACAGAGUACCAAAGCAUUCUGUGGAAAAUACACUUGUCCAUCUUGCUUAAAAAUACGAAACCUUAUGAAAAUGCACCCUUAUUUUGCUCCAGGCUUCGGGACUUCAGAACUUGCUUUUCUAAAUCUUCCUUUCCUUUGUGAUAUUGAAGAAUCAUGGAAUAGCAUCAGUAAAUAUAUUUUCUAUUUGGAAAAUGGAUUAAAUUAUGUAACUUGCUUGAAAGGAAAAUAUUAGAGCUGAUCCUGAAACGGUCAAGGCUUUCCGAUUGCAACAUCGUGAAAUUCAAAGCCAUCUCCAACAACAAAAGAACCCAUUGCUGACCAAACAGCACUGCUGGAUGCAGACUGUUACUAUGAAGAAGGGUUACACUUACAAUUCAAGGUUCAUUAUAAGCUGGUCUCAACUCUGUUCUAAAAUUUUCCUCAUGAGAAAUGCGUUUGUGAUUUCAACUCGGUAAGAAUUAUCCUUUUGUACUUUUCAAAGCAAUGCUUUAAGUGUCUUUCCUUCCCAUUUGAAAUAUUUCUACAAGACACUUCUUUUUCUGCAAGUCAGUACAAAGCAGAUUUGCCCACCGUGGCGUCCAUUUGACUUCCUUGUGCAAGACUCUGGACCUUUUAAACAAGUAGGUCUUAUAUCAGGGCUUCAACAUGCAUGUAAAAACAGAAAUAAAACCCCUCUCCUUUCAUUUCAACUGUACCUUUUGAAUAACAUGCUCAGCACAUAGUCCCAAAUGUCUAGCCAAAGGUGCUAGAAGUCAGAGAACGCAGAUGAACAGAUUUCUUCCUUGGAUGAGAAGCUUUUUAUAUUUUUAUCAGGUUUGUUUUACUGUAGAAGACCUAUGUCUGUGCUUUAUAGAGGGCUUUUGUUCAGACUUCCAAUUAUCUGCUUGUUGGGAUUUGAUACGCUUUCAUUAAUUGCUAAAUGGCAAAAGACAGACCAAGAGGUAUAUAUUCCAUUUGACACCAGUCAUGCCAGCUGCCUUGCGGAGAGCAACCAAGUGCAUCUUUUACAUCUUUCUUUGUGAUUUUGGGCAAAAGAUGGCAAGGCAUAAUAAUCGCAUUUAGAGUAAAGACUGGAUAAUAAACUUCUACAGCAUGGCAAUAUUUUAGAGAAAGAGCUCCCAGCUCUCAAAUACCACAUGCAGGUGUGCUACCUCAGUGGGAAACAUUUUAGGGAUGAAUGAGUAACUCUGCCCUCUUGUUUACUAAGACUAUACCCAUUACAUUGGCCAUUAAAAAUAAAUAAUAAUAAGAAAAAUACAUGUUUUGCCUCUCUGGGAAGUGCUUGUAGAAUAUCUUUUAGCUGUAACCACUUUAUGCUACAAGCUGCCUGUAGCUGGAAUUGGUGUCCCUUAACCACUCGAUUAGUUAGAUAAAUUCUGCACGCCUGUGUCUGGGAUCCAUGGUAAUAGAGUUACGUUGCUAUGCUAUGAAAUGUGCAGGAGGGUCCAACCCUUCAGAAAGGAUAUGAUUUCCGGGGCUACUGAAACUUUGCAAUGAAGGCAAGAAAGAAUGCUUAAAGGAACAAACAAAAGAAAUCUCUGGAACGGUGACAAGUGGGAUCACGCAGAUCGGUGGGUACGGGCAGGGCACUAACCUCCCAGGGAAAGUUUCCUCCAGGAAGAUUUAACAGCUCUCUGAAAAAUUGUUUAAAAAUGGUGUUGUGGGGGAAGAUUAUCCUAGUUCUGUUCCUGACAUCCUGAGGAGAGCCUACAUGGCAACACCGUGUGUUGCAUGUAUUUGUGCGAAGGGCUGAAUUAACCCGUUAGGAUACACAGAGGAGCCUUCAGCCCGGACUGCAAAAGUGAGACGAGAAAACCAAACACAACCAGGAUGGACUGCUACAAGCAAUCUCCCUCAAACUGCCUGACUGAUGUAACUAUUAUCUCUGGCCACACUGAUGACAGGAUUUUUACUUCCCUGGCAUAAUAAGCAAAGGUCUCCUCAGACCUGUUGUUCUAGCGAAUGCAGAAGCCUCCUCCUGUUUUCAUGGCCUGGGGAGAAGAGGGAAGAUGAGAAGUCUGUACAUUUCCCUGGACACUCUGGUAUUAGCAGGAAUCAAGUGGACUGCUGCUGCCUGCUGCUACCAGCAUCUCAGGGAUGGAAAAUAAGUUUAAGAAGAAAGGAGGGAAAAAAAAAGGUAAAAAUACAUUAGCUUUUAUAUGCUAGAGAGCGUUUUCUGUUCUCUUUGGGUCUUGACACUGCCAGCUGAAAUACUCAAGAGACAGAAUAAAUUUAAAGGCUCAGAGCUGAGACAGGUUUUUGUUCUUGACCAAGAUCCUACCUUAAGUGAAAGGAGCAAUGUAAAACAUCAGGAAGGAUAUAUGAUGACUGUAACUCUAUUUGAAUUCUCAUAUGCACUACCUUAUUAAAACUGUAAUUUUGCAAUGUUUGUUUUAAGCAGUUAUCUCCACAUUAAAUUUAAUAUUCCCUCGCAGUACCAAGUAGAAAAGGUCCUGCUCUGUUAAACACCUAAAUACAUAUGAAGACAACACACUGCCUAGAAGACCUUUCAAUCUAAGGCCAGUAAUACCAAAGGAAAAGCGUGUAUCAAAUAUACAGUUUAAUUUGAUUUUUAUCUUUCUCUUUCUCUUCUAUUCAGGUGCCUUCCAAUCUCUUAAUCAUUAACUGACUGACUUCUACUGUCACAGCACAGAUGGUCCUCAAAGAGAUUAGUUUUUCCUCUGAAAAUAGUCUUACCAUGCACUUCUAUCAUAACGUACUUUCCAAGAGCUUAAGUACUUCACAAAUAUUCAUGAACUUCAUCUCUCAGUGCCCACAUUCAGCCCGGACAUUUAGAAAACAAACUACUUCAAACUACUAUAAUCCCGGUUUCCUUGCAAGCCCACAUUAGCUAUGCUGCCCCUGGAUGGCACACUGCUGUUCGCUGUGCUUCCAACUACUGAGCCAGAAAACAGCAAGGGAUUUGGAUGGCUGAAGCAGUGGUGGGGAAUACAAAAAUCCCUGGGAAGCUUCAAAGGCUAUCCUCUGGGUUUCCCGAUCUCCAGGCAAUGAAAAUGAGGCUGUCUUUGAAGACGGGCCAACAGAAGCCAGAAAGCAGCUUCUUUUAGGGGUCAUCGUUCUGCAAAGCGGUGUAGUUUCACUGUGUUCUGGUGCUGGGAAAGCCAAAGUACAGACUUCUAAAAGGUGCUAGACAGUUUCAAAGGCAGACAGCUGCCUCUGCAAAUUUUAGAAGAAAAAAUGGGCAAAGUCCUAGAAUACACAUAAAAAUUUGAGAUCCAGUUUUCUCAAUGUCACUUUUCUGAAAAAUUUUGAGGGUUACAUCUUACGUGAUCCCUGUCUUCUCAGUAAUUACUCAUCUAGGAAGAGUUCUACACAUUUAUCUAAGCUACCUGAAUUACAGGAUGAAAGCGGUUUACCUUUGGUAACAAUUUCAGGGAGAGCAAAAAAAGGUAGGGUCAAAAUCACUGAAGAGAAACUCAUGAAAAACAACCCCAAACCACAAUUUAAGCUCUCAUUUAUUCAAGUCCAAAACAAGUGGAAAAUAAUAUUUUAUUUAUGGAGAAAGGAAAUAACUUGAAUGCACAGAACUUGGCUAAAGGAAGGCUAAAAGGAAUAGGAUACAGGUAUUAAAAAAUAAUAAGUAAUACUCAGAAUGCUAUGUAUAUAUAUGUAUAUACACUAGUGAUGAACAGUAUAAUAAAAUUAACCAAUGGAAAAUUUAAGACUUUUAAGCAUGG